rnacentral:lncRNA from 1 species
UCGAUUGACCCUAAUGUAAAAAAAAUUGAAAUUACAAAGAAAAUAUGAAUAUUGAUUUAUAUAUAAAUGCUAAUUACCUCAAUCGUCUCUCGACGUAAGUCUUCCCUUAGUUCCUUUAGUAUAUCCGGCAUCUGUUUUCUAAUGGCCUCUUGAACUGCCCGAUCAAAGUCUUCUUUACUUUUUUGUUGUUGAAUUUCUAUAAAAUUCGUCGUUGUGUUAUGUGAAGACGUCGCCAUAUUAUCAGGAAUUGGUAAUGGCAUUGGAUCACCUGCUCUGGUUCCAAGCACACGGCCUUUCUUUUUUCCCUCAGUAGCUUUGACCCAUAAUUCUAAAUUAUCAGGGAGUGUGUGUGAUCCAUUUGAUGAGUUGAUCUCAGAAUUUUCGGCUUCCAUAGCAUUUCUUUGAAGCUCAUUAUAGUCAGCCUAUAAAAAUGAAAAUCAAUAAUAAAUAAAAAAUAUGACUUAAAUAUCUUAAAACGAAGCGUUUCUAACGAAUUUUCUUACAAUGAAGCAUCCUCCCUUUGGAUGAGCCCAGUCGU